GUGCUCGCUUCAGCAGCACAUAUACUAAAAUUGGAACGAUACAGAGAAGGUUAGCAUGGCCCCUGUGCAAGGAUGACAUGCAAAUUCGUGAAGCGUUCCAUAUUUUU
rnacentral:snRNA from 1 species